GGCACGUGCCUUGCAGGGCGCCGGGGUCUCUUGGUGGCGCGGUUGCGGCCCACCGGGACAUUGGUCAGGGGCCCCCUGGUGCCUGAGCCCAGAGCAGCUCAGAGCUGGCUGCCUCUGCCCGACCCCGCGGCCCUGGUGUGGUCGGCGACCUCAGCCCAUGGUUCACCCCCGGGUUGGAUGCCACAAUUUCCGCGUCCGGCCACACUGGGCGUCAGAGGAGGGGUGCACGCGGAGAAAACCCUGCACAGAUCCCGAUGCUCCCUUCGGUUGUCCACUCCUCCUCUUCUCUGCCGGCUACUCCGGAGCUGGUGCCUACACAGUCAAGACUCCGAAGCCUAACACCCGUCUCAUUUCCAGCACCUUUC
rnacentral:lncRNA from 1 species